GACAUGUAAUCCUUCAAUCUAUAAAGCUUUUAGUCAAAUUAGUGUGUUUCGAAUGGAACGAACUGAUUUAAAUAAACUAAUUCCUAUUUUCCCUGUAAGUAAGAAAUCGUGCAAUUCGUAUGAUGAAAGAAAAGAAAUAACAUGUCUUUUGCAUUUGGCAAAUGGCUGAAUUCCAUUAGCAGUUCUCCAAAUCUCACUAAAGUUAAGAUGAAUGGAAAUCACAAAACCAUCCCAGGCACAGUGUUCAUGCUUCUUUUUGAUGAAAUAUCAUUUUCAUACUUGUGUUUCAAAAAGAGAACGUAAGUCCCGGUAUUUGUCCACAUAUUUCACUUCUUUUAACAUGUUUAAAAUAUGGUUUAAGAGAUGGUGGUAAAAAUGUCACUGUUUCUGCUGUAAAUCCACAACUUGAGUAUACUAGAUGUUUGUAACUUUUUCUUUUUCCAACGAAUGUGCUGGGUCCUUUCAUGUUAACUUUGAUUGUAUAUCGUUUCAUUUUAUAUAUAUCUACUGUGUGGCUUAAAUUAAUUUCAUAAACUUGUUUGUUUGCCUCAGACUUCAGCUCUCUUUUUGUGGUACUGAUUAGAGAAUCUCCAAGUAAAAUACUGAUUGUUACAUCGUUAGAUCCUGAAUAUGUCGUUGAUCCAAACAAGAGGACAGCGCACAACUUACCAUUAAAAGAUGUUUGAAAAUCAACACAGUCAUACUUAGACGUACGUUUGUAGAAAUUAACUUUAUUAUAAUUACAAACACAUCUUCGAAAACGCACCCUAUAAUCAUGAUAAUGUCUCUUUUGUGAAAUAAAAAUACUGUUCCCAUUAUUGGUAAAGGAGCGGAAAACAUUGAUUGUUUCAAUCUGAUGUCAGUAAGCCGCUGUUCGAAACAUUCUCAGUAAAAUAAUGUUGCUUCAUUGUUGGGAAUCUGAUCAGAUAUAACAAAUCGCCAAGACAUACCCUGACGUUGUAAUAUGCCGUUGGUAUUUGUUGUUUCGUACAUCUAAAUUUUGCCCAUCUAACCAUUUGCUCAUAAACAUGUUCUUCCUUGCAUCUCAAUGUAUCAGAUUUGAUAAUAUGUUUCACAUAUUCUCCUGGUAAUUUCACAAAAGAAACGGAUUUUAAGCAGUUGUGUCCAUUUCUUAAAAUAUAUUCUAAUGCACAAGACUUCAAUUCUUCCAUAUUUAUGCCAAAAGCUAUUUUCAGAACAGUGAACACAUAAUCUGUGUUCAUUUUUUUCUUUAAAAACCAAACGCAUUUAUCUUUUAGCACCUGGAUGCAGUACUUAUCUCCAGCAAGCAACAAACCCUCCACAUUUUCAUAAUUUAUCUCCACAUCAUCUGUGUAAAUAAAUCUGUAAAACACAAAGAAUAAUUCUUAAAUACAC
rnacentral:lncRNA from 1 species